CCAUGUUCAAAUUCCAAUAACUUUUAUCCAUAGUUCCCCCUCAACUGCAAUAUUGGGGAAGGGGGGGUUUUAACCACACCGGAUUUAUCUUGGGCGUGGUUUUAAUCUUUUGAGGCAAACACAGUCUCGCCUGUGAUCUUCAGGGAACAAAAUCCAACCAUCGAUGGAGGGGGGGGGGAGGACCAUAGGGAGCCACCAUCGUGCUCGUUUAAUCUUCCAUCUCCUGCUGGACUCAGUACCUUAUUCUUACCCAGGCGGACCCAUCGAAGACACUUCAGCCAGCAGGGAGCAGGGGAAAGAGGCUGGUUUUGGGGAAGGGGGCUGCUCGGAAAGUGGCCUUUCUCUUCAGGCAGUGGGAGGAGCUGCUCUCCCACCUUUGCAAAGGGCGGAAGAGGAGCGGGGUGAGGAGGGGUGUGUGUGUGUUUGAAUCUUCUCCAAAGAGAGGAGCAGAGGAAUCGAGAGGGAGAAAAAGAACUGAUGGCUCUAUCUGACCACUGAAAACCAACAGAGAACCAGCCGGUCGGCCUCCUUCUUUGCUUCCCGGGGGAGGAUCUGGGAACACAAGAAGCCGAAGGCCGUUUUAUCCCCACUCAAGUUACUUCAAAGGACGGCACCAUGGAGACAGCCCCGCGGAACCAGCCAGAGGCCAAGAGUUUAGAUAAGGAGGGAGCUUCUGCAAGGAACUCGAAAAAUCCCAGCCGGCUCUACCGAAGGUCCAUCAAAACACAGAUUGAGAAACGCCGCAGGGCCCGCAUCAAUGCAAGCCUAGAACAAUUGAAGAAGCUACUUCAACAGCCAGUGGAUCAACAGGACACUAAAGCCAAGUCACAUUUGGAGAAAGCUGAGAUCCUGGAGAUGACGGUGCAACAGCUUCGCCAGCUCAAGCAGCAAGGUAUGGUUGCUGUUUCUUCUUUCCAAGAUGGGCAAGAUUUUGCUGCUGGUUACUGUCACUGCCUUAAGACUGUCCACUUCUUCUUGACCUCAGCCAGUUCCUCUCCAAGUCAAGACAAGGCAUCACAAAUCUUGAAGUACCUGGAAGAGACUUCAGCUUCCAUAGACUGGAAAACGCACAAGCCAGAUUCUCUCUCCAUGCCUCAGUCGGCCUUUCUAUCGUCAUCUCCUUCUCUGCAACCUGCAGGGACAUCUUUUUCAGACUCUUACACCUUCACUGUUCGAUCUCGGCUGCAUCCUUCUCUGGUUUCUAUGCUGCUGCCCCAAGUGCACGUGACUUGUAUUCAGCCAGCAUCACCUGCAACUACCACCCAUAUAUGGAGACCGUGGUGA
rnacentral:lncRNA from 1 species